UACGUAGGGUGCAAGCGUUAAUCGGAAUUACUGGGCGUAAAGCGUGCGCAGGCGGUUCGUCGUGUCCGAUGUGAAAGCCCCGGGCUCAACCUGGGAAUGGCAUUGGAAACUGGCGGGCUUGAGUGUGGCAGAGGGGGGUGGAAUUCCGCGUGUAGCAGUGAAAUGCGUAGAGAUGCGGAGGAACACCGAUGGCGAAGGCAGCCCCCUGGGCUAACACUGACGCUCAGGCACGAAAGCGUGGGGAGCAAACAGG
rnacentral:rRNA from 1 species